ACCAGUGGAAGAUUUUUUAUUUAUUAUUAGUAAUUUUUUUUUUUACUCUAAAUAACUUCCAGAAAUCAAAAGAUAAAUUGAAGGGAGUAAAUCACGAGGCAGCAGAUCCUCUGGUGCCGGAUUAGUACCUGUCCCUCUGUCCCCACCUAUCAAGGCGGUUUUAAUUUCAAAGUUAUAUAGUAACCAUACAAAUGUUCUUCAAUUCAUUCAUUCAUAGAAGAAAGAAAGGCUUCUUUUUUUUCUUCUUCUAUCAAGGAAACAUAGAUUUCUGAUUUAUGUUUCAGUUUGGGUGCUGCUGAAAAGGAUUCACUAUUAAGGUUAUUCUCCAUCUCUAAAACGAAAAGGGUGGAUUUUUACUCAAUCUCUUCUUAGUUUUUCUUUUAUCGCUCUUUCAAUUCAACUGCGGGAUUUUAAUUUUAGGGAUUUUUGGUUUCAGGGUCACUGUGAAGAGAAGAGCUGAUGGUAAUAACUAAACUAAUCAAACCUAUUUUUGAUUCUUCAUUUUUGAUCAUGAUUUUAGGCAUUCGGGGUUGGCUGUUGGCAGUGGACAGCGGCGGAAGCACAGCAAGACUUCCCCUGCAUUGUCGAAGUGUUUAGUCUUUGCCAGUUCUGUGUAAAUUAGGACCCUGCACUUUAGUUGUUUGUGGAAAUGCCCACGAGAGGAGAACUUGUAUAAUUGUAUUGCCUGCCAGGUAUUCAUCAAAGAAGUGCAUUAAGGAAUCUCUGCCCCAUAUUUGUUGGAAACAGCAGUCGUCGUUAAAGAGAAUAAGAGUGCCCGAAAAAGAACAUGAUGUACAGUUUUGCUAUUAGGACUUUCCGAUGUUCUUUUAAGAGGGAGAAGCUAAUGAUGGCUAAAGAAUACCUGCGCAAAGGCUUCAUUCCCGAGAUCUCCCAACGGUGAAGGAGGAUCUUAUGACGUCAAUGGAAAAGAGUUACGCCCAUCCUUGGGUUGGACCUCAGAGAUGGGUUGGACUGCACCCAUAUCCAAGAGGAAUACAGGAUGAGUUGGCGAAUGAAAAUGCAGAAACAUCCAACCUAAGAAACAAGCUUGACUGGAUAACUUUAUGAGUGCAUUUAUUUACGGUUGGGUUUGCAAAGUGAGAUUAUUGGCAUUGAUUGAAUAUUAUUU